rnacentral:rRNA from 1 species
AGAGUUUGAUCCUGGCUCAGAAUGAACGCUGGCGGCGUGCCUAACACAUGCAAGUCGUACGAGAAAGGGGCUUCGGCCCUGAGUAGAGUGGCGCACGGGUGAGUAACGCGUGGGUAAUCUACCCUUGGAUUUGGGAUAACUCUGCGAAAGUGGAGCUAAUACCGGAUAGUCUGGCUUUUAAUAGAAGUCGGUAAAGGAUGCCUCUGCAUAUGCAUUCGUCCGAGGAUGAGCCCGCGUCUCAUUAGCUAGUUGGUAGGGUAAUGGCCUACCAAGGCAACGAUGAGUAGCUGGUCUGAGAGGAUGAUCAGCCACACUGGAACUGAAACACGGUCCAGACUCCUACGGGAGGCAGCAGUGAGGAAUAUUGGUCAAUGGGCGCAAGCCUGAACCAGCCAUCCCGCGUGCAGGAAGACGGCCCUAUGGGUUGUAAACUGCUUUUCCAGGGGGAGAAACUUGCGCACGUGUUGCGCAAUUGACGGUACCCUGGGAAUAAGCAUCGGCUAACUCCGUGCCAGCAGCCGCGGUAAUA